CCUCUUGUCUAGGGGGCUGCGCUGUGGAGCAGCAGAGUCCAACAUCAAGUGCUCCCACCUUGGGGAAACUUUGUUUCCCUGGGUAUCGACUUGGAGUCCCAGAAGAUGUUCUUGAACUGAUAACUGAAGGCCCACAGAAGUGCCUUGGGCUUUUCCUGUCAGGUGCUGAGAACAGGACAGUUCAGAGUGACAGUUUCUUCAGAGUUCUGCAAAGAAUUGGAUGCCGUGGGAGGAAGCACAAAGGCAUAAGCAUCUAGAGGCUGUGGAUUCCCCAGAAGAACCUAUUUCCCUGAUAACUAGAGGCUGAACAAGAGCGCGUCGUUAUAGAGGUUUAAAUAACCCACGUAAGGUCAGCUGCUGCUUAAAUCCUUACUACCAGGUCUGUAGAUAUUUUUGCUUUGUUUCUAAGCAAGCUGAGAGUCCCGGUGCCAAAGGGCAACAUGUAAAUUGUGCUGUUAUUCUGCAGUGUGCAAGGUAAUAAAUGGUGCUGUCAAUUGUUUUCA
rnacentral:lncRNA from 1 species